UCGGGUAAUUGAACUGCAGCGCGACCUGCAAAACAGGAGCGAGGAAAGUCCGGACUUCAAAGAGCAGAGUGCUGGCUAACGGCCAGGCGGGGUAACUCGACGGAAAGUGCAACAGAAAAAAAACAGCCUAAGCCGUAAGGCCGGCAAUGGUGAAAACGUGAGGUAAGAGCUCACGGAUUUGAUUGGCAACAAUCAGUCUGGCAAACCCCACUCGAAGCAAAGCCAAAUAGGGGUGGAGAGCUGGCUCGGCUCAUUAUCACACUCGGGUUGGCUGCAAAGAAUGUUUCGGCAACGUAACAUCAAGAGAAAUUGUAGUUAAAACAGAAUCCGGCUUAUAAAUUGCCCGAAUUU
rnacentral:RNase_P_RNA from 1 species